CUGAAACCAAAGAGUCAGAUGCUCAACCAACUGCACCACCCAGGCGCCCCCCCAAAUAACCAAAGCAUCUUGAGAAAGAACAAGAAAGCUAGAGGUCUUACAAACCUAGAUUUCAAGAUAUACCACCAAGGUGCAGUAAUCAGAACAGUCUGGUACUGGCACCAAAAUAGACACAUAGAUCAAUAGAACAGAAUAGAGUCCAAAAAUAAACCUACACUUAUAUGGUCAAUUGAUCUAUGACAAAGGAGGCAAGAAUAUACAGUGGAGAAAAAGGCAGACAUGGUGCUAAAGAAACAGGACAAAUUAUAACAUUAAGAUGCUAUUGAUUUUAAGGCUCAUCCUGAUUUCAAAGAUGUUAAAAUGUGUGUGCCGGGGGUGGGGGGGAAUGCAUUUAGGAUUCAGUGAAAUACAGUCCCUAGAGAACGUCUGGCUGGCUGACUUUGCAAAGAAACUAACGGGCCUGCUGAACAUGUCCUAUGAGCCGGUCGCCCUGGUGAACGACCCUGGCUCACUGUAUGUUCCACCUGCUACACGGCUUACCUCGUUUAUUCCUGUAACACCUCGCGGAGGUGGGGACAGGCACUAACACCCCAGUUUACAGAUUUGGAAAGUGAAACUCCACAAGGUGAAAGUACCCUACACACGUCACUUGGCUGCCCAAGAUGCACACGUGGGCCUGAUUCUAAGGCCUGCGAAGUGAAAUGUGCCCCUCUUCUCCAAAAAGCACUAAUGUUAAUAAUGAAGGUGUGUAUGUCUUGACUGUACCCCUUGGAAGACCCUCUGCAUACUGCCUCUCUGUACCUCUGUGGGAUGGGUAUUACCAUCCCUGUGGCACACCCAGCACAGGGGGGCUGAGGAUCUCGUCCAGGGCCCCAGCUCAACAGUGGUAGAAGUCUGACCUGAACCCAGAUGUAAACUCCACAGCCCAGGCUUCACCCACGCUGCCUGCCCAGAAAUGCUGCUGCACUGAGGCAGCUCCAGAAUGCCAUGUUGGCAGAGUCUUCCUUAGAUCAAGGGCUCCUGAUUCCUAACCCCAGAUGAUGCUGCAGUCCUCACAGGGUGCUCCCCUCUUAACAGGGGAGAGGGAGGGGAAAGCUUGUUGUACCUUGGAGGUGAGAGCUGGCUGGGAAAACGAAUCUAUACGUGUGUGUGUGUGUGUGUGUGUGUGUGUGUGUGUGUGACGGGGAGAGUGCUGUCUCUUUUACAGGACUGCACAGCAGACUCAGCUCCUGGGCAUGACACUUACAGUCCAUCCAUCCUGAAGUCCCAACUCUGGCAGUCCACUUCCCUGCACCUGAGCCAUUCUUGCUUCAGUUUCCCAUCUCCAGGCUGACAGGACAGCCAGAAAGUUUAGAAGCAAACAGAAGAUCAUUGUGUGUUGCUGCCUCUAAACCACUAACAGGUACAACCAAGACAUUUUAUCUCACAUUUACACACUCCGUCGGAUCCUCCUCCAAUUCUCUGAUCACUGACCAGGCAAGUGCGGGAUGGGGGGAAGACUUUCUUAGGUAGCACCGUGGUGAGGCCGGGGGCAUCAAGGUGACGACAGGCUCUCACACCUGCCUCUGUUCACAUUACCUGGGACCAGGGGAGGCUGGGAGACCCCAGGUCCAGGCUCCAGAGCCGCGGCCCCCUGGACUGCAGGUUAAUAGAGUGAGAAUAGGUCCCCCUUCAGGAGGGAGGAGGAAGCUACCUACUCCUCCUGCGUCACCGUCGAGGUGAAGACUUUAUGCUUAGCCUUGAUCCCUGGGCUGCUGGGCCUGCCCACUCCGCUGGUAGCCAGCACCCAGCAAGACACCCAGCAAGGCACCCGGCACGGCGGCUGGGGUGGGGGCCCUGCAUUUCGGGUCUGCAGGCUCCCCCUUCGGUUCAUGGCUGCAUCUUCAUUUUUUUGCAGGAAGGACACCAGGUGGUCUGACAAACAGAAAGCCUGACAGCAGACUGGGUGAAGGGAAGAAAAACAAGAAGUGCUUCAGCAUUCUCUCCUGGGCCAUUCUGGGGAGCCUAGCAGCCUGGACCCCCCACAGGAUCACUUGCGGUUGGCCUCUGUGACAUCCGUCCCCAGAGACGCCCAAGUCCCCACACCCCCAUCCUCUUCUCACUGCCCAUCUGUUGUGGGCAGUUUGCCACCUGGGGCUCAAAUGAACCAGGAGGGGCACAGUGCUGGCCCAGCAGCAGAACUGGGCGGGGCGGGGGGGGGGGGGGGGCUAUGUUCUAUUUCACACAGGCAGUGUUUUUGAAAAUAUCUAAAUUGCCAACACAUAAAAAUCAGGGUUCUGACUUCAUGUAAGACCAGUCAGGGCAGAUUAAAGGCUAUGUGCCCUUUUGAAGGGGCGACUGUGCACUCUAUCCCUCCUGUCUGAUGGCCCCUGUAGGAACCCUGACCUGGGUCUCUACGACACCAGGAUGAGAACAGGGCCUCCCACCCCCAAAAGGCAAUACCAUCCCAAACAAAGAAGUUGAACAGGAAUGGACACUCCUGGUGUCACCUGCCCCCAGGGCCACCCCUCUUGCCACCCCCGCCCCCUCCAAGAUCCAAGUCCCAUGCUCUGUCUGGGCACAGGACUGCAGGGAAGCAUGGGGAGCAAAGCAGAGGCCCAGGCCCUCCCCCAGCUGCCACAUGUGUCAGCUGUGCCACAGAUGAGGCCUUCACCCACACAGCUGAGCACAGCUCUUGCCCACAGAGGCCUCAGGACACUGGUCCCAGCCUGCAGUGUAUGUGGACUUUCCAGUGCUGGGUGCCUGUGGCAAGACAGGAGAGACCAGGUCUCUGCAGGUUUAUAGACACUGCUUGAAAGCUGUGCCAGACACCCCUGGAUCCAGCCCAUAUCCCUGCUCGUCUACUGCCACCUUCUAGACAAGCCAAGGCCACCUCGCUGAUCUCCUGGCUUCUGCUCUGACCACCCCCUUCAUUCUGUUCCCUGCAGAGCAGCCAAAGGGGUCUUUUAAAAAUGUAUGUAGUAAGGAGUUGCCUGGGUGGCUCAGUUAAGCAUCCAACUCUUGGUUUUGGCUCAGGUCAUUAUCUCUUGGGGUCAUGAGAUCGAGGCCUGUCUGCGCUCGGUGGGGGCUCUGCUUGAGAUUCUUUCUCUUCCUCUGCCCUUCCCACCCCUCACUCUCUCGUUCACUCUCAGAUAAAUAAAUUUUCAAAAUAUAAAAUAAAAAUGUAUGUAGGAUCAUGUGAUUUCCCUGCUUAAAGCCUUCCAGGAAGUUUACCUAAUAGCAAUGUGCCAAUGUUGGUUUCUUAGUGUGACAUAUGUACCAAGACAUUGUAUGUAAGGUAUCAAUGAUGGGAAACUGAAUAAAAGAUCUAUGGAAA